UACGUAGGGUGCAAGCGUUAAUCGGAAUACUGGGCGUAAAGCGUGCGCAGGCGGUUGUGCAAGACCGAUGUGAAAUCCCCGGGCUUAACCUGGGAAUGGCAUUGGUGACUGUACGGCUAGAGUGUGUCAGGAGGGGGGUAGAAUUCCACGUGUAGCAGUGAAAUGCGUAGAGAUGUGGAGGAAUACCGGAUGGCGAAGGCAGCCCCCUGGGAUAACACUGACGGCUCAUGCACGAAAGCGUGGGGAGCAAACAGG
rnacentral:rRNA from 1 species